AGGUGGUGGCGGCUGGUCAGAGGAGGUGGUGGCGGCUGGUCAGAGGAGGUGGUGGCGGCUGGUCAGAGGAGGUGGUGGCGACUCUGGUCAGAGGAGGUGUUGGCGACUGGUCAGAGGAGGUGUUGGCGACUGGUCAGAGGAGGUGUUGGCGACUGGUCAGAGGAGGUGUUGGCGACUGGUCAGAGGAGGUGUGGCGACUCUGGUCAGAGGAGGUGUUGGCGACUCUGGUCAGAGGAGGUGUUGGCGACUCUGGUCAGAGGAGGUGUUGGCGACUCUGGUCAGAGGAGGUGGUGGCGACUGGUCAGAGGAGGUGUUGGUGACUCUGGUCAGAGGAGGUGGUGGCGACUGGUCAGAGGAGGUGUUGGCGACUGGUCAGAGGAGGUGUUGGUGACUCUGGUCAGAGGAGGUGUUGGUGACUCUGGUCAGAGGAGGUGUUGGUGACUCUGGUCAGAGGAGGUGGUGGUGACUCUGGUCAGAGGAGGUGGUGGUGACUGGUCAGAGGAGGUGGUGGUGACUGGUCAGAGGAGGUGGUGGUGACUGGUCAGAGGAGGUGGUGGUGACUCUUGUCAGCAUGUCCAAGGGCAGGUAGGGAGUCCCAUGUCAUCAAGGCAUCCCUGUAAUCUGCAUCUUCUUCCUCUGUAUUGGGGCUCUGCGAUGAAGUUUGAUCUUCCCUCAGAGGACAGUCCACAAGCCGUCCCACUGACAACUCGGCGUGCAUAGCCUACAGUCCUCCUCUUGGGUCACCGUUGGUGGAAAACCAGCCAUGUCACCCUUUAUUCAAGUCAGUAUUCGACGUCCAUCUAUGUCUGAGGACGUCGAGAGAUGACAGGGAAACUGACCACUAGGGGCAACGGUGAGCGCUGUUACCUUCAAGUAGGUUUUGGUUAGCUAGGUUGGGGAUGGUGGAUGGGCGUAAACUUGAUUCAAAAGGUUGCAAGGUCGAAUCCAGCGAUAGAAAGUUGUAUUUUGAUAUUUUAGUUUUAAGCCUUCCCUAAAUCUAUACCCUUUCCAUCCGGAGUUAAUGCCUAAAGUUAACCUUAAACGCUUCAGAAUUGGACUUUUCAGAAAGAAUGGAUAAACGUCUACUUGUGAUGCGAGACUGAGAGCUAGUUGGGAAAACAACCCAAAACCAGUAGGUUCAAUCUGAAUAAAACACCUGCUAGCUAGCAUUUUAGUGCUUUUAUGGGAAGGAAUCCAAUUCAUGAUAUCAAGACUUGAUCUGCACUCACGUAGUUAUUGAAAAAAACUAAAUGUUUGUAAAAAUAUAUAUAUAUAUAUAUUUACAUAAAACCGAUUAAAUGUGUACAGAAUUUACACGAGCUCUCUGCCUAGGCUGCCAUUAGGAGCCACGGCAACUAUAGAUUGAAAGUAAUAAUAAUUGAUUCAACAAUAUUAGGUAUUCAAUUACAUACAGAAAUGUUAGUGCUGUAGAGAAAUAACAAAAAUCAUCAUCAUGAGUAGAUUGAUGGAUCAAGAGAUUGAAGGUUGAGAAAGUUCAUGCCUUGAGUGAGGUCAGCGGAGGCAGGUGGUGGUUAAAAGAGGAGAGAAGGCAGCACAUUGUCAUCGUGGUGUCUUUGCCAUCCAUGUUGUCUGUGGCUUCGUAGUAGGACUCAGUCAAAUUAAGUUAGUCGGACUAGCUAGCUAGCUACGGCUACCAAAAUACAGCGCCCACUUGGGUGAUGCUAUUUCAGUCACGAGGCGCAAGAAAGCACAACACGCCUCAAUAGUAAUCCAGGAGUAGCCUUACCAUUUUGUGUUUACAUCGUGACGUAUUUCAUUACGCCGUACUUCAUCUCAAUAUCGUUCCGCUGCAGGAUGGAGUGGGAGGAUUUCACAAGACUAGAUGGAGAGCCUCGUGUCUCGUCAGGGAUUGAAUUGAUUUCAGGAGAUUGUCAAAUAUGGCCUUUUCAUUCAAGACAGGGGAAACGUAUUGUUUCAGUUGAUAAUAAAACAUGGUUUGUUGAGUAAAUUUUUCCUCAACUUGUUAAAUCAAGCUAGCUUUACACCACAGCUAGCUAGCUAAAAGAUACGCUAUACUGUAGCUAGCGACCUCCACCUAAAAACAAACGUCAUUACCAUCAUAAAGACUAAACCCAUCGGCUGUGGUUUAGUAACUUCGUGUUCUUCGAGGAACUGAAGACGCCGUUUGGAAAUAUUCAAAGUAUGCGGUGUCUAUCUCGCAGCGCAGCCAUUAACCUCAAGGGGGCGUUGCUCCGUCGUGGACGCUCCCCAUUCAAAUGAAUGACAUCAGGCCCAAUGCUUACGGUUAAUGUGAAUGGGGCAUUAGUCCUCCAUACAGUCAUCUGUCAUCUCUGUGCACCUCUGUAUUCAGGCUCCAUCCUCAACCUCCGGACAGUUGGCGUAAUUGAAUCAAAACAUUGCAUGCUAGCCAGCUAACAUUAUCUAGCCAAAAACUAACUGCCAACCUGAUUCUUCAAAAAUGUGCUGGAUUCAAACUAUUCAGACUACAAUGAUAAGCUAAAUCAAUAGUUAAUUCAUAAAUGUUUGUAGGGAAAAAUGCUAUACAAACAGUUAAUUAUUACAAAUAUUUACAGGAGCUCUCUGCUGAGGCUGCUACUAGGGCACCAUGGCAACUAUAGUAGUGCACUAUAAAGAAUAGGGUGCCAUUUGGUACAUACAAACAGUCCUCCCAUGGUCCUCCCAUGGUCCUCCCAUGGUCAUCCCAGUCCUCCCAUGGUCAUCCCAGUCCUCCCAUGGUCAUCCCAGUCUUCCCAUGGUCAUCCCAGUCCUCCCAUGGUCAUCCCAGUCCUCCAUGGUCAUCCCAGACCUCCCAUGGUCAUCCCAGUCCUCCCAUGGUCAUCCCAGUCCUCCCAUGGUCAUCCCAGACCUCCCAGACCUCCCAUGGUCAUCCCAGACCUCCCAUGGUCAUCCCAGUCCUCCCAUGGUCAUCCCAGUCCUCCCAUGGUCCUCCCAGUCCUCCCAUGGUCAUCCCAGUCCUCCCAUGGUCAUCCCAGUCAUGGUCAUCCCAGUCCUCCCAUGGUCAUCCCAGUCCUCCCAUGGUCAUCCCAGUCCUCCCAUGGUCAUCCCAGUCCUCCCAUGGUUAUCCCAGUCAGAGCCAGUAGGAUAUAUAAAUAAACUGCCUUUAGGAAGUAUUCACAUCACUGUGGCCUUUCCCACAUUUAGUUGUUUCAGCCUGAAUUUAAAAUAGAUUCAAUUUAAAUGUUUUGUCUCUGGCUUACACACAUUACCCCAUUAUGUCAAAGUGGAAUUAUGUUUUAUUUUCAUUUUUUACGUUUACAAAUUUGUUAAAAAUGAAAAGCUGUCUUGAGUCUAUAAGUAUUCAACCCCUUUGUUAUGGCAAGCCUAAAUAAGUUGCAUGGACUCACUCUGUGAAAUAGUGUUUUUCAUGAUUCGUUUUUUUUUUUACAAAUACCUCAUCUCUGUACCCCACACAUUCAAUUAUCUGUAAGGUCCACAGGAGGUUGGUGGCACGGGCUCGUGGUAAUGGAUGGAGCAAAAUACCUGGAAUCGUCUCAAAUACAUGGUUUCCAUGGUUUCCAGGCGUUUGAUGCCAUUCCAUUGGCUCCGUUUCAGCCAUUGUUAUGAGCCGUCCUCCACUGGUAAGGUCCCUCAGUCGAGCAGUGAAUUUCAGAUUCAACCACAAAGACCAGGGAGGUUUUCCAAUGAAUCGCAAAGAAGGGCACCGAUUAGAAAAGGGGUCAAGAGAAAAAUGGAGACAUUGAAUAUUCCUUUGAGCCUGGUGAAUUACACUUUAUACCCAGUCACUGCAAAGAUACAGGCAUCCUUCCUAACUCAGUUGCCGGAGAGGAAGGAAACCGCUCAGGGAUUUCGCCUUGAGGCCAAUGGUGACUUUAAAACAGAGUUUAAUGGCCGUGACAGGAGAGAAUUGAGGAUGGAUCAACAACAUUGUAGUUACUCCACAAUACUAACAUAAUUGACAGAGUGAAAAGAAGGAAGCCAAUGUUACAGUUUUAGUUUAAAUUGACUCGGAAAUCUAUGGCAAGACAUAAAAAUGUCUGUCUAGCAAUGAUCAACAACCAACUUGACCAAACUUGAAGAAUUUAAAAAAGAAUAAUGUGCCAAUAUUGUACAAUCCAGGUAACCAGGUAACCAGGUAACCAAAGCUCUUAGAGACGUACCCAGAAAGACUCCCAGCUGUAAUCACUCUUAGAGACUUACCCAGAAAGACUCCCAGCUGUAAUCACUCUUAGAGACGUACCCAGAAAGACUCACAGCUGUAAUCGCUCUUAGAGACUAACCCAGAAAGACUCACAGCUCUUAGAGACUAACCCAGAAAGACUCACAGCUGUAAUCACUCUUAGAGACUAACCCAGAAAGACUCACAGCUGUAAUCGCUCUUAGAGACUUACCCAGAAAGACUCACAGCUCUUAGAGACUAACCCAGAAAGACUCCCAGCUGUAAUCACUCUUCUAGACUUACCCAGAAAGACUCCCAGCUGUAAUCACUCUUAGAAACUUACCCAGAAAGACUCACAGCUGUAAUCACUCUUAGAGACUUACCCAGAAAGACUCACAGCUGUAAUCACUCUUAGAAACUUACCCAGAAAGACUCACAGCUCUUAGAGACUUACCCAGAAAGACUCCCAGCUGUAAUCACUCUUAGAAACUUACCCAGAAAGACUCCCAGCUGUAAUCACUCUUAGAGACUUACCCAGAAAGACUCCCAGCUGUAAUCACUCUUAGAGACUUACCCAGAAAGACUCCCAGCUGUAAUCACUGCCAAAAGUGAUUUAUAACAUGUAUUGACUCAGGGGGUUGAAUACAUGUAUCUAAUCAAUAUAUAUUAGUGUUUUCUUUUCCAUAUUAUUUUUUAAAAUAAAUGUUAUAAUUUUUCUUCCACUUUGACAUUAAGAGUAUUUUGUGUAGAUAGUUGACAAAAAAAUAAAUAAUUCACAAUUAAAAUCCAUUUUAAUCCCACUUGGUCACAAAACAAAAAUGUGGAGAAAGUCUAGGGGUGUGAAUUCUUGCUGAAGGCACUGUAUGCUAUAUACCAUUAGGUCCUAUACGUAUAUUAACGUAUAUACAAGGUUAUAUAUAGGGCUCUGAUCACAAUGGUUCCUUAUUGUGUUCAGCUCUGCAGACGUUGUUUAAAUGAUUAAUUACCGUAGUAGAUUAAAACCCCCUGCAUCUUUAUUUACCUAGCCUAUAUGUUAUACUUUAGCUAUUAUUAAAAAAAAAAAAAAAACAUUUAUUUAAAAACAAAAUCAAAAAAUAUGGUAAAAAGUUCUUCGACCAACCCUGAUGUGUGUCAAACCGCCAUGCGUCAGCGAACACUGUGGUUUCCUUGACGAUCAAACAUACGUUACUAUCCGUUUCAACUCCACUUUCUGCAUGGUUCCACCAUUUUUAAACGGUGCGUAUUUAUGAUGCAUGUCGUCGUCCCCCCCCAUUCUGACAUAGAGAACUGAGGCCGCUGACUUGUCCUAAUACACAGGUUUAACAGUGAGUCAAUGCGUUACCAAGCUGGUAUAACUGUUAUAGUCACCAUUCAAAUGAUCUACUCUUAACCUUUAAAAAAAAAAAAAAAAAUGUAUUGUGAUAUUGAAUUUAAUCAACAACAACAACAACAACAAACUAGACUUACAUGUAUCUAUUCUAGCCAACUUUGAAUAUUGUUAAUAAUCCUGGUGUUCUGUGCUCUGUUGCUGUUUUCUGCUACAUUGAUAUUAGUAACACAUCUCUCUGGAUUCUCUUGGAACUAUAUUCCCUAUGUGAUGCACUACUUUUGGAAUCUCUGUUGCCAGGGGGACGGAGAGUUGUGAUAUGGGUCCGGUGGAGACUCUGGAAAGUAGUGUUCCUAAGGGCCCUGGGUCAAAGGUAAUGCAAUGCAUAGGGAACAAGGUACCGUUUGAGACGCAGGCAUAAGGCAUACCAUGUUUAUAAAAAAAAAAGCUUUUGAUUUGAGCAAGCCCCUUUUAUGUAGCUGAGAUGUGUUGCCUCAGAGAGACUUUAGCAUCAAGUACAUUUGGAUGUUUACUUUUUAGUGUUUAACUCAAGACUUAUUGUACUUCUGUUACCAGAAUCAUUAAUAACUACUUUUUCCAUGUAAUUCUCCUGAAGCUUUCGUCCCACUUUAGUGAACAGAGAAACGGUGUACCCCCAGCCCCCCCCCCCCUGCAAGAGCUAUAUAGGAUAUCAGUAUGUAAGAGCUAUAUAGGAUACCUUGACGUAAGUUGACAAGAUUUUUCUGCCUAACUCAUAUGGGUUGUAAAAGAAUGAACUACGGUUGGGUUGGAGAUUGUUGAUGAUUGAGUGUGGUGUAUUUGAAGGCAAUUGAAUGCAACUUACAAAGCUUAAUAAAAUUAUAUUAUUUUAGUAUAA